rnacentral:rRNA from 1 species
UACGUAGGCAGCGAGCGUUGUUCGGAGUUACUGGGCGUAAAGGGUGUGUAGGCGGUUAUUUAAGUUUGGUGUGAAAUCUCCCGGCUCAACCGGGAGGGUGCGCCGAAUACUGAAUGACUUGGAGUGCGGGAGAGGUGAGUGGAAUUCCUGGUGUAGCGGUGGAAUGCGCAGAUAUCAGGAGGAACACCUAUGGCGAAGGCAGCUCGCUGGGACGGUACUGACGCUGAGGCGCGAAAGCGUGGGGAGCGAACAGG